AAUCGAGUUUUUGACGCAAGUUGCGCCCAAAGCCAUUAGGUUGAGGGCACGCCUGCCUGGGUGUCACACAUCGUCAUCCCCAUGCAAAUGUGUAUGGGGUGAAAGUUGGCUUCCUGCGAGACAUUCCUCGUGGUUGGUUCAAAACUAAGUUAACGACGAAGUCCCUCGCGAUAAAUGGUGGAUGAGAAACUCUCGAGACCAAUCGUGGUUGGGGUUCUUCGGCGGAUCUAACUGGUUGACCCUAUUGUGUUGUUCGUUGAUAUCGAACACGCUCUUAUCGAGACCUCAGGUCAGGCGGGGCUACCCGCUGAGUUUAAGCAUAUCAAUAAGCGGAGGAAAAGAAACUAACAAGGAUUCCCCUAGUAACGGCGAGCGAACCGGGAAUAGCCCACCAUGACAAUCGGUCGCCUUUGGCGUUCGAAUUGUAGUUAA
rnacentral:rRNA from 1 species